rnacentral:rRNA from 1 species
CAUCGAUGGGUGACCCCUUGGGAAGUCYUCGUGUUGCACCCAUUGGUGCGAUCAUACCAGCACUAAUGCACCGGAUCCCGUC